UGAGGAAUAUUGGUCAAUGGAUGGAAAUCUGAACCAGCCAAGUAGCGUGCAGGAUGACGGCCCUAUGGGUUGUAAACUGCUUUUAUGUGAGAAUAAAGUUAGGUAUGUAUACUUAUUUGCAUGUAUCACAUGAAUAAGGACCGGCUAAUUCCGUGCCAGCAGCCGCGGUAAUACGGAAGGUCCAGGCGUUAUCCGGAUUUAUUGGGUUUAAAGGGUGCGUAGGCCGUUUGAUAAGCGUGCUGUGAAAUAUAGUGGCUCAACCUCUAUCGUGCAGCGCGAACUGUCGAACUUGAGUGCGUAGUAGGUAGGCGGAAUUCGUGGUGUAGCGGUGAAAUGCUUAGAUAUCACGAAGAACUCCGAUUGCGAAGGCAGCUUACCGUAACGUUACUGACGCUUAAGCACGAAGGUGCGGGUAUCGAACAGGAUUAGAUACCCUGGUAGUCCGCACAGUAAACGAUGGAUGCUCGCUGUUGGCCUUUUGUGGUCAGUGGCUUAGCGAAAGCGUUAAGCAUCCCACAUGGGGAGUACGCCGGCNACGGU
rnacentral:rRNA from 1 species